GUCAGGAGCCAUAUCACCUUGCAACAAACAACUGACAGUCCACUAAAGCUAAAUAAGUGUGAGCCUGGUCAGUACCUGGAUGGGAGACCUCCUGGGAAAAACUAAGGUUGCUGCUUGAA
rnacentral:rRNA from 1 species